rnacentral:misc_RNA from 1 species
CAGUGAAGUUCUAUGGGACUGUUGAAGAGGAAGUUUUAAAUGGAAAGAAAUGUAAAAUUUGGAUACCUGGAGAAUCAGUUGAAGCAGUGGCUUAUGAUAAUCCAAUACCUGGUUAUGGCACACGAAAUGCCUUCAACCUUCGACUGUGGGCUGCUAAACCAAGUGAUCAAUAUGACAUGGAGUCUUAUACCACUGGUGACUAUAUUAAUGCUAUUGUUAACAGACAAAAGGCUGAAACUAUAAGUAACGUGUUGUACCCUGAUGACCGUUCUUACCAGGGUAAGGAACUGCGGUUGAAGCAACAAUUUUUCUUUGUUUCAGCAUCACUACAAGACAUUAUAAGGAGGUUUAAGGAUUUACAUAGAAACUUUGAUGAGUUUCCAGAGAAGGUUGCUCUACAGAUAAAUGAUACACAUCCAUCAAUAUCCAUUGCUGAGGUAAUGAGAGUGCUUGUUGAUGAAGAGCACUUGGACUGGAGUAAAGCAUGGGAUAUUGCUUGCAGGAUUUUCUCAGUCACCAUUCAUGCAGUACAACCUGAAGGACUUGAG